rnacentral:rRNA from 1 species
UACGUAGGGUGCGAGCGUUAAUCGGAAUUACUGGGCGUAAAGCGUGCGCAGGCGGUGUUGUAAGACAGUUGUGAAAUCCCCGGGCUCAACCUGGGAACUGCAUCUGUGACUGCAAUGCUGGAGUGCGGCAGAGGGGGAUGGAAUUCCGCGUGUAGCAGUGAAAUGCGUAGAUAUGCGGAGGAACACCGAUGGCGAAGGCAAUCCCCUGGGCCUGCACUGACGCUCAGGCACGAAAGCGUGGGGAGCAAACAGG